GACGAACGCUGGCGGCGUGCUUAACACAUGCAAGUCGAACGGUAAGGCCCUUCGGGGUACACGAGUGGCGAACGGGUGAGUAACACGUGGGUGAUCUGCCCUGCACUUCGGGAUAAGCCUGGGAAACUGGGUCUAAUACCGGAUAGGACCACUGCCUGCAUGGGUGGUGGUGGAAAGCUUUUGCGGUGUGGGAUGGGCCCGCGGCCUAUCAGCUUGUUGGUGGGGUAAUGGCCUACCAAGGCGACGACGGGUAGCCGGCCUGAGAGGGUGACCGGCCACACUGGGACUGAGAUACGGCCCAGACUCCUACGGGAGGCAGCAGUGGGGAAUAUUGCACAAUGGGCGCAAGCCUGAUGCAGCGACGCCGCGUGAGGGAUGACGGCCUUCGGGUUGUAAACCUCUUUCAGCACCGACGAAGCGCAAGUGACGGUAGGUGCAGAAGAAGGACCGGCCAACUACGUGCCAGCAGCCCGCUGUAA
rnacentral:rRNA from 1 species